rnacentral:rRNA from 1 species
UACGUAGGGUGCAAGCGUUGUCCGGAAUUAUUGGGCGUAAAGAGCUCGUAGGCGGUCUGUUGCGUCCGCUGUGAAAACUCGGGGCUUAACCCCGAGCCUGCAGUGGAUACGGGCAGACUAGAGGUAGGUAGGGGAGAAUGGAAUUCCCGGUGUAGCGGUGAAAUGCGCAGAUAUCGGGAGGAACACCGGUGGCGAAGGCGGUUCUCUGGGCCUUACCUGACGCUGAGGAGCGAAAGCGUGGGAGCGAACAGG